GUGCUCACUUCUUCAGCAUGUGCACUAAAAUUGGAACGAUACAGAGAAGAUUAGCAUGGCCCUUGUGCAAGGAUGACACACACAUUAAUGAAGCAUUUCUUAUUUUU
ensembl:snRNA U6 U6 spliceosomal RNA